UACGUAGGGGGCUAGCGUUGUCCGGAAUCAUUGGGCGUAAAGCGCGCGUAGGCGGCCAGAUAAGUCCGGUGUGAAAGUCAAAGGCUCAACCUUUGAAUGCCGCUGGAAACUGUCUGGCUUGAGUCCGGAAGGGGCGAGUGGAAUUCCUGGUGUAGCGGUGAAAUGCGCAGAUAUCAGGAGGAACACCAAUGGCGAAGGCAGCACUCUGGGACGUGACUGACGCUGAGACGCGAAAGCGUGGGGAGCAAACAGG
rnacentral:rRNA from 1 species